rnacentral:rRNA from 1 species
UACGCGAGCUGGGUUCAGAACGUCGUGAGACAGUUCGGUCCCUAUCUGCCGUGGGCGUUUGAGAUUUGAGGAAAGCUGCUCCUAGUACGAGAGGACCGGAGUGGACGAACCACUGGUGUUCGGGUUGUGAUGCCAAUUGCAUUGCCCGGUAGCUAUGUUCGGACGGGAUAACCGCUGAAAGCAUCUAAGCGGGAAGCCUCUUCCAAGAUGAGAUCUCACUUUAUCUAUAAGAUAACUGAAGGGCCGUUGAAGACUACGACGUUGAUAGGUCAGGUGUGGAAGCGCAGUAAUGUGUGAAGCUAACUGAUACUAAUUGCCCGUGAGGCUUGAUCAU